GGUGGAGGGGAGUACCCCGUAGAGGUGGAGAGGAGUACCCCGUAGAGGUGGAGGGGAGUACCCCGUAGAGGUGGAGGGGAGUACCCCGUAGAGGUGGAGGGGAGGUG